UUCUCGAAUUUAGAAGAGCUAUUUAUAUUGUUGUAAUAAACACUUAUAAUACGAGGUUAGAUGCAAAUAUAUCUAGUUUUUUAAGAAGAUUCAAUCUGUUUAUAUUUUAAGGGAUGAGCUUUAAAUAGGAUUAGAAGUUUUGUUAUAUUUAUUUUAUUAAAAUGCGAAUUUUAAUUUUUUCGGCAAUUAUGAUAAAAUUAGUAAAAGGUUAAUCAAAGGAAUUCGGCAAAUGUUUUUCACCUGUUUAUUAAAAACAUGGCCUAUUGAUUAUUAUUUUAGGUCUUGCCUGCCCACUGAGGCCGCGGUAUUUUGACCGUGCAAAGGUAGCGUAAUAAUUAGUUUCUUAAUUAGAAGCUUGUAUGAACGGUAGAAUGAGAAAACGACUGUCUCUGGUUAAUUGAAUUUUAUCUUUAAGUAAAAAAGCUUAAAUUUUAUUGAAAGACGAGAAGACCCUGUAGAAUUUUAUUUUGGUUGGGGAGAUUGAAAAAUUAAAUUAACUUUUGAUUAUAAGAUAAAAUUACCUCAGGGAUAACAGCGUAAUCUUCUUUAGAGUUCUAAUCGAAAAGAAGGUUUGCGACCUCGA
rnacentral:rRNA from 1 species